AAUGAUAGAGGUGCGGAGCUUAUAAAUAGCCGUGCGGUAAAAAUCCGUUUUGUCAGCGGAGUUCCGUGCGCGCCGCAAGGCGGCGAGAAGUGAAAGGAAGUUCUGCCGAAGCACUGUAUGACAAACGGAGGCUGGGCAUGCGGCAAACAGCCGUAUGACUGUCACAGAACCUUU
rnacentral:ncRNA from 1 species